AUAACGGUCCUAAGGUAGCGAAAUUCCUUGUCAGGUAAGUUCUGACCCGCACGAAAGGCGUAAUGAUUUGGGCGCUGUCUCGGCAGCAGACUCGGUGAAAUCUUAGUACCUGUGAAGAUGCAGGUUACCCGCAACUAGACGGAAAGACCCCAUGGAGCUUUACUGUAGCCUGAUAUUGAGUUUUGAUCAAGUAUGUACAGGAUAGGUGGGAGACGAAGAAGUUGGGACGUCAGUUUCAAUGGAGUCGACGUUGGGAUACCACUCUUAGUUGAUUGAAAUUCUAACCUGUAUCCAUGAGCUGGGUAAGGGACAGUGUCAGGUGGGCAGUUUGACUGGGGCGGUCGCCUCCUAAAGAGUAACGGAGGCGCCCAAAGGUACCCUCAGAUUGGUUGGAAAUCAAUCGACGAGCGCAAAUGCAGAAGGGUGCUUGACUGCAAGACAGACAAGUCGAGCAGGGACGAAAGUCGGGAUUAGUGAUCCGGCGGUGCAGAAUGGAAUGGCCGUCGCUUAACGGAUAAAAGCUACCCUGGGGAUAACAGGCUGAUCUCGCCCAAGAGUUCACAUCGACGGGGAGGUUUGGCACCUCGAUGUCGGCUCAUCGCAUCCUGGAGCUGAAGUCGGUUCCAAGGGUUGGGCUGUUCGCCCAUUAAAGCGGUACGCGAGCUGGGUUCAGAACGUCGUGAGACAGUUCGGUCCCUAUCUGUUGUGGGCGUAGGAAAUUUGAGGAGAGCUGUCCUUAGUACGAGAGGACCGGGAUGGACCCACCGCUGGUGCACCAGUUGUAUCGCCAGAUGCAUAGCUGGGUAGCUAAGUGGGGAACGGAUAAACGCUGAAGGCAUCUAAGCGUGAAACCGACUCCGAGAUGAGAUUUCCCAUUUCCAAGAGAAAGUAAGACCCCUUGAAGACGACGAGGUAGAUAGGUCAGAGAUGGAAGCACAGCGAUGUGUGGAGUUGACUGAUACUAAUCGGUCGAGGAUUUAAUCAC
rnacentral:rRNA from 1 species